rnacentral:rRNA from 1 species
GAUGUAGGGCGCAAGCGUUGUCCGGAUUUAUUGGGCGUAAAGAGCUCGUAGGCGGUUUGUUGCGUCGGCUGUGAAAUCCCGAGGCUCAACCUCGGGUCUGCAGUCGAUACGAGCAAACUAGAGUGUUGCAGGGGAGACUGGAAUUCCUGGUGUAGCGGUGAAAUGCGCAGAUAUCAGGAGGAACACCGGUGGCGAAGGCGGGUCUCUGGGCAACAACUGACGCUGAGGAGCGAAAGCGUGGGGAGCGAACAGG